GGGGAUGUAGCUCAGUGGUAGAGCGCUUGCUUAGCAUGCGCAAGGCCUUGGCUUCCAUUUCCA
rnacentral:tRNA from 1 species